rnacentral:rRNA from 1 species
CGGGUAACGGGGAAUCAGGGUUCGAUUCCGGAGAGGGAGCCUGAGAAAUGGCUACCACUUCUACGGAAGGCAGCAGGCGCGCAAAUUACUCAAUCCCAAUACGGGGAAGUAGUGACAAUAAAUACUAAUGUUCUUCCAUUUUAUGGAGAACAAUUGGAAUAAGUACAACGUAAGUAGCUUAGCAAAAGUAAUUGGAGGGCAAGUCUGGUGCCAGCAGCCGCGGUAAUUCCAGCUCCAAUAGCGUAUACUAAAUUUGUUGCAGUUAAAAAGCUCGUAGUUUAGGCAGAGGUCAUUCGGAUUCAUUAAUUUCACCUUCAAAAGUGACUUUAAAGGCUAUAUCACGCUUCGGUUGUGUUUAUGGUCACCGAUGACUUGUAUUAUGACGUUAUUUGUUAGUUUACUAGCUUAUAAUCGUCAAUCCACUGUGAGAAAAUUGUGGUGUUUAAAGCAGGCGUUCUAGUCUGAUCAAUGCAGCAUGGUAUGGUAAAAUAUGACACUUAACAUUUGUUGGUUUACUUUGUUAUAGUGUAAUGACUAAUAGGGAAGGGCGGGGCCGU